CCGGACUACCCUUCGUCGGCUCGAUGACGGGGACCGCGCAGCCGAACUAC
rnacentral:misc_RNA from 1 species